AUACCUAGGCAAUAUGCACUCCAGCAGAAUGCAACUGUAAAAUAACAUUAAACCUGCUCAAGGUGGAAAAAAAUUCACUUUACCAAUUGGUGUUCAUUUAGGGGCCAGUCCAUGUCUCAUGGCAGGUGAUGUGCGGUGGAGGGGCUCUUGUUACCCCGGUCUCUGCUGAGCCCCCACCAAUUUGGUUCUAAAAAGACCAGAAUGUGUCCACUUGUAAGCCUCAGUAUCAUUCAGAAUCCAUCAUGACGUCUCCGUUGAGAUGCGCUGGCUUACUUCUCUGCUCUUGCUGUCUGUACUUCUGUCAAGCAACCAGGAAAUGGCAAGUCACUUUAACUGAGCCACAUUUCCUGUCUUCUCUCAGCUGGGCUUAUUGUCAUCACCAUGUUCGCUUCCUUCUUUGCCGCUAUCACAGCUUUAUUGGUAGAGUGUUUAUCACCUCGCCAUGAACGACAACCGGAUCAACGUUUUGUUGGAAUACACUUUCAAUGGAGGGUCAGAAAUCUCUCAGGAUUUAACAAAAAUAUCUUCAUUUGUUUUUCAAUGAUGAACAAAAGUCUGGAACGACAUGAGGAACCCGGUUCACACUGCCCUCCUCUCGAGCAUUACAGUGGCAGUAGAGAGCAAACCGAGGAAUAGCCGGGAGGAGUUCUGCCUGCCUCAAAGCUGCUCAGAUGAAGGAAAAACAUUAAGCAUCACAGUGUCACAGCUGAUUGUGGAAAUUAGCUGGGAUGGAAUGGCACUGCACUGGAGCACACAGACUUUUCCUGGUGGAUUGGUUUGUGGAAACAAAAUUCUAAUUAAGAAGUAAAGAUCAGAAUGUGAUGUAUGUUUCUCUCUCUCACACACACAAACUAUAUGAGUAGAAAAAAUUAUUAAUACUCUGUUUUUAGCCACAGUAAAAUCCAGAAUACUCAUUGAUUUUCAUUUUCAUUUUAUACAUCCAUGGAUGACAUUAUCAUAUUUGAAAUGAAAUGGUGUAAGAAUGAGGCUCUGUGCUCUGUUAUUGAUGGAAACAUAUUUUUUUUCUCUUCUACUAAUGUAAAAAAGGGAUUUUGUUUUGUUUUCCUUGUGGUAUAAAAGGUAAAUGGUAAAUGCUGACUUGUUGAAAAAGUGUUUUAUGUAAAAUAAUUGUAAUAAAGUCUUUUUUCAAAAACACA